ACACGACUACAUUAGAUACCCCGGUAGUCCUAGCCGUAAACGAUACUCGCUAGGUGUCGGCCACGGUGCGACCGUUGUCGGUGCCGUAGGGGAGCCGUGAAGCGAGCCACCUGGGAAGUACGGCCGCAAGGCUGAAACUUAAAGGAAUUGGCGGGGGAGCACAACAACGGGUGGAGCUUGCGGUUUAAUUGGAUUCAACGCCGGAAAUCUUACCGGGACCGACAGCAACAUGAAGGCCAAGCUGAAGACUUUGCCGGAUUAGCUG
rnacentral:rRNA from 1 species